UGCCCAGCAACUCCUAUCCCUACCUCCUCGUGGUACUGGCCGGGGUACGAGUAACCUUGGGGAAGAUCGGGUAACCAACCCCCGGUGGGAACUUUGUUCGUAUGCUGACAGGGAAGG
rnacentral:ribozyme from 1 species